CCAAUAGCGUAUAUUAAAGUUGUUGCAGUUAAAAAGCUCGUAGUUGAAUUUCGGGAUCAAAAUGUCGGUCGUGCCUCGGUACGUACUGGCAUUGUUUGUUUCUCCCUUCUGACGAACUACGAUGUCAUUAAUUUGGUGUCGUGGGGAAUCAGGACUGUUACUUUGAAAAAAUUAGAGUGUUUAAAGCAGGCGCACGCUUGAAUACAUUAGCAUGGAAUAAUGAAAUAGGACGUUUGAUUCUAUUUUGUUGGUUUCUAGGAUCGACGUAAUGAUUAAUAGGGAUAGUUGGGGGCAUUAGUAUUCAAUUGUCAGAGGUGAAAUUCUUGGAUUUAUUGAAGACUAACUACUGCGAAAGCAUUUGCCAAGGAUGUUUUCAUUAAUCAAGAACGAAAGUUAGGGGAUCGAAGACGAUCAGAUACCGUCGUAGUCUUAACCAUAAACUAUGCCGACUAGGGAUCGGAUGAUGUUAAUUUUUUAAUGACUCGUUUGGCACCUUACG
rnacentral:rRNA from 1 species